rnacentral:rRNA from 1 species
CGCCUACGGGACGCAGCAGUGGGGGAUAUUGCACAAUGGGGGAAACCCUGAUGCAGCGACGCCGCGUGGGUGAAGAAGCGCCUCGGCGCGUAAAGCCCUGUCAGCAGGGAAGAAAAUGACGGUACCUGAAGAAGAAGCCCCGGCUAACUACGUGCUAGCAGCCGCGGUAAUGCGUAGGGGGCUAGCGUUAUCCGGAAUUACUGGGCGUAAAGGGUGCGUAGGUGGUUUCUUAAGUCAGAGGUGAAAGGCUACGGCGCAACCGUAGUAAGCCUUUGAAACUGGGGAACUUGAGUGCAGGAGAGGAG